rnacentral:misc_RNA from 1 species
GAUGAAGAACGUAGCGAAAUGCGAUACUUGGUGUGAAUUGCAGAAUCCCGUGAACCAUCGAGUCUUUGAACGCAAGUUGCGACCGAAGCCAUUAGGCCGAGGGCACGCCUGCCUGGGUGUCACACGUCGUUGCCCCCCCAUCUACUCCUUCGGGAUUGCGGGGGGCGGAUGAUGGCCUCCCGUGCGCCUCGUCGCGCGGUUGGCAUAAAUGCCAAGUCCUCGGCGACGCACGCCACGACAAUCGGUGGUUGCGAAACCUCGGUUGCCCGUCGUGUGCGGUCGUCGCGCAUCGAGGGCUCGAAAAAAUUGCCGGGCUCCGGCUCGGCUUUCAACGCGACCCCAGGUCAGGCGGGGUUACCCGCUGAAUUUAAGCAUAUCAAUAAGCGGAGGA